AUGGCCGGGAGCAUGCAGGCGGCGGACGCGGCGGGGCGGAUCAGCGCGCUGCUGUCGCUGCUCGCGCUGCGCCGGAUCCUCGCCGUGCUCCAGCCCUUGCUCCUGCUCCUGCUCCUGCCCUUCCGCUGGCGGGCGGCGCGCCAGGGGGACGCCGCCGCGGCCGACGCCGUCGUCUCGGCCUCCGCCUCCUCCGGGAAGAAGGCCAAGGCCGCCGUCGUGCUGCGGGUGCCCGCCGUCUGCUCCCGGAGGCAGGCCCUCGCCCGCCGCGAGGCCGCCAUGCGCCGCGCCAGGGAGGCCGGCCGGGACUACGAGCUCGUCCCCACCGCCCGCGGCGAGACGCUCUUCACGCAGUCCUGGUGGCCGCACGCCUCCUCCUCCGUCAAGCCCAGGGCGCUUGUUCUUGUCAUGCACGGGUUGAACGAGCACAGUGGGAGGUAUGAUCAUCUGGCCAAACGGUUGAACGACAUGGAUGUCAAGGUUUAUGGCAUGGACUGGACUGGCCAUGGUGGAAGUGAUGGUCUCCAUGGGUACGUCCAAUCUCUCGAUCUUGCUGUGCAGGACAUGAAAAUGUAUCUGAAGAAGAUCUCAGCCGAGAACCCUGGCGUCCCAUGCUUCUGCUUUGGGCACUCCACCGGUGGAGGCAUCAUCCUCAAGGCUGUGCUUGAUCCGGAGGUCGAUGCUCUUGUCAAUGGCAUCAUCCUCACAUCGCCGGCUGUCCGUGUACAACCCGCGCAUCCUGUCGUCGCGGCGCUUGCCCCGGUUUUCGCCCUGAUCGCGCCUCGGUACCAGUUCACGGGGUCGAGCAAGAACGGGCCGGCGGUGUCGCGCGACCCGGAGGCGCUGAGGGUCAAGUACUCGGACCCGCUGGUGUUCACGGGGUCCAUCCGGGUGCGCACCGGCUACGAGAUCCUCCGGCUCACGGCCUACCUGCAGCAGCACCUGCGCAGGGUCACGGUGCCGCUGCUGGUGCUGCACGGCGCCGACGACAUGGUGACCGACCCGGAGGGCUCGCGGAGGCUGCACCGGGAGGCCUCCACCCCGGACAAGGACAUCCGGCUCUACGACGGCCUGCUGCACGACCUGCUCAUCGAGCCCGAGAAGGAGGUGGUGCUGGGCGACAUCGUCGACUGGCUGACCCCGAGGAUUUGA
rnacentral:rRNA from 1 species